GGAGAGUUGUCCGAGUGGCCGAAGGAGAUGGUCUUGAAAACCAUUGUACGGCAACCCCGUACCAAGGGUUCGAAUCCCUUACUCUCCGCCA
rnacentral:tRNA from 1 species